CAUGGUUACCGGUCGUGGACGUGAGCAACAACAACAGAUUUUAUUUAGCUUUCUUUGUACUGUCUUGGUUUAAUCGUAUGUUUGACAGUUUAUGUUAUUUAGAAUUUAAAGGGUAACUUUAGCCGAACAUAUCUAAAGAGAGAUGACUGACCCGACGCUGGACUACUUUCUGAGCCAGGGUCAGAUAAAGAGGAGGGACGCUGCUGAGGUGAAGUGGUCGCACGCUGUGAACAGCAGGAGCAGGCUGACCGAGGCUCUGACAGGUCCCUCUCAUAUGAUUGAGGCCGACAUAAUCCUGAGAGGUCACGACCCCAAAGAGCCAAUCAUGGCCCAUCCCCCUGACACAGACAGUGACAUCACACUGAGGGAGUGGCUGGAAGCAGUGAAGACGAACAACAAGGGAAUUAAACUGGACUUUAAGAGCCUGGAGGCUGUGUCUCCGUCUUUGGCUCUGCUGGAUGAAGUGCUGGCUGACCUGAGCCGUCCUGUGUGGAUCAACGCAGAUAUUCUCUCUGGUCCUGGUGGACAGGCCAGACCUCUGGAGCCUCAGGCUUUUCUUUCUGCUGUGACAUCUCUACCCACUCACAUUGUGCUGUCCCUUGGCUGGACUACAGGAUGGACUGCUGGGACAGAAAACCCAGGUUACAGCUGGGACAUGGUGCGUGCAAUGGAAGAGAAAUGUAGAACCCUUCAACAUCCAGUCACCUUCCCCGUACGUGCAGCUCUCCUGGCCCAGUCGUUCUCCCAGCUCACAUGGCUGCUGCAGCAGUCAGACCGGUACACUCUAACUGUGUGGACCGGCCAGAAGGACACGUUAACACCACAGGACUGGCUGCCCUACAAAAAAGAGAUUGACGUCAGUAGGAUCUACUAUGACCUGCCCGAUGUUUGAAGGACGGAGCUGACACAUACUGAGACGCUGUCUGACUGGUUUCUUAACUCUUACAGAAGACUGAUGUCCACAGGUGGAGAGAGGGGAGGUGAACUGGUCUCUUGUCUAACCUGGAGGGUCAGGACCACCCAGGGAACUGCUGCAGGUCAGAUCAUAGGGUGAUGCUGCUGAGCUACGUAUCCUCUGGGCUCUCGCAACAAGUAACUUGUUAUACUGAAAAAUUAGGAAAUAACUGAAAAAUGAUAGAAAUAUGAUCAGCGUUAAGAGCAACACAACACCAGGCCAGGAAGUAGAAUUAUAAUGACCUCCAUAGUUGAAAGUCUGUUUUCACCUCCAACCACAGCCAGCACCACUGAUGGGGGUGCUUGGUAGAAAUGUCCUCUGUUACACCUGUAACCUUACCCAGUGAUGUCACAGUGCCCUGGAGUACACCUGUGCAUCACUGCAGCAAGGUGAAAAGAUAAACCACUGGAGGUCAGCAGAGACCAGGGGGCGUAGGCUGGACUGUGAACCAUCAGGGGCUUUUAAAAUCAGACCUCUAAUUAGACUGUUUCCAUACAUUUUCUUCUUGAAUGUGCUACACAUUGCUUCAGUGUGAAAAUUGGAUGUAUUAUUAUUAUUAUUAUUAUUAUUGUCACUGUUGUUGCUAUGACAUUGCAAGUCACUUACUUUUCACAUUUGAAAAGACAUCUGUAAAUGCACUAGUUCUACUCCGUAGGCCUGGCCUUGGUCUGUGUGGAUUCAUCCUCACUCAGGUAACAUGAGUUUUUCUGUUUCCUCUCUCUCUAGUUUCACCCUCUCUAUCAAUAAAUCACAUCAUUGUUUACAACCAUGGCUUGUCGUGUGGGAAGGUGUUUAGCUGCCUGUUAGACUGCACUGCAGAGAGUGAGGACGACAGAACAGUAGCAGCUUUUUUUGAGCCAGUGUCUGACAGGUGAUUGUUUGUCCACCAUCUGAAGAAACCCAAAGUGUUUAUAAUCAUUCAGUAUCACUGACACCGACAUAGUAUUUCAUUAUUAUAACUUAUAUAAUUAGAUCAUUUUUACUGAUGCUUUGACGUGUGAGUAGCACAAAUGAAUUUAUGCUUUUUUUGUAGUUUCAUCGAUAAAAAUGCACCUCAUUUUAAGUUGAGGUCAGUUUUAUCUUUGUAUAUAAAAAUAUGCAAAGGAACUGGAAACUAAAGCUGUAAAUUUGAUUUAAUUUAGUAAAAAUAUAGUCUCAAAAUAUAAGCGACAUCAGGGAAAUAUAAAGUAUAAAGAUAUAAAAUAUAAAGACAUUUUUAAAAUAUAGUGUUGUUAGAAAUUAAAAUGUGAUGUUGGCUGUAAAACUGAAAAACCUACCAGAAAUAUUCUGACAGAUUAAACAGGGCCUGAAAUAAUGAAGUAAGUGAAUCAGUACUAGUUGAUUCUUAAUGUGUUUUUCAUACAGUCCUGCUGAAUAAUGCCUCACAUGUCCUGCUGAAGUUGUUCUCAUUACUGCUGCUUGUUACAGGACUGUACUGAGAGCGCCAUGCUGAUCCCUGCUGUCGUUGUUCUGUGAAAUUAAAACGCUGAGGAAAAAGUCCAAAGCAAACUUGUUCUCACCGUGAGCCUUUCAUUACAUAUCUAACUGUAGACGCCACCCCCUGAGUCUGGUUUUGGGAGUUUGUCGUCUCCACUGUCGGAGUGCUGCUCAAGGUAAUCAUGAUGCAAAGUUUCACACUGAU